rnacentral:rRNA from 1 species
CGAUCGGUGACAGGUGGUGCAUGGUUGUCGUCAGCUCGUGUCGUGAGAUGUUGGUUAAGUCCCGCAACGAGCGCAACCCCUAUUGUUAGUUGCCAUCAUUCAGUUGGGCACUCUAGCGAGACUGCCGGUAAUAAACCGGAGGAAGGUGGGGAUGACGUCAAAUCAUCAUGCCCCUUAUGACCUGGGCUACACACGUGCUACAAUGGUUGGUACAACGAGUUGCGAGUCGGUGACGGCGAGCUAAUCUCUUAAAGCCAAUCUCAGUUCGGAUUGUAGGCUGCAACUCGCCUACAUGAAGUCGGAAUCGCUAGUAAUCGCGGAUCAGCACGCCGCGGUGAAUACGUUCCCGGGCCUU